GACUACAUGAAGCUGGAAUCGCUAGUAAUCGCAGGUCAGCAUACUGCGGUGAAUACGUUCCCGGGUCUUGUACACACCGCCCGUCACACCAUGGGAGCCGGAAAUGCCCGAAGCCAGUGACCCAACCUUAGGGAGGGAGCUGUCGAAGGUGGAGCCGGUAACUGGGGUGAAGUCGUAACAAGGUAUC
rnacentral:rRNA from 1 species